rnacentral:sRNA from 1 species
UGAUGGUUUGAAAGGAUUUGAGGCAGUCAUCAUCGAAUUCAAAUUCGGUUUCCUUGCACAAUAGUCUGGUUAACGGUCUGGCUAUCUUGGAGAAGUCUUUAAUGAAUCUUCUAUAGAAUCCAGCAUGACCAAGGAAGCUUCUGAUGUCCUUCACCGUUUUUGGUGGCUGCAGCUGCAUCAUCACUUCAACUUUUCCUUUGUCAACCUCUAUACCCUUCUCUGAUAUCUUGUGGCCCAAUACUAUGCCUUCCUUCACCAUGAAAUGACACUUUUCCCAAUUGAGAACAAGAUUCGUCUCUUCGCACCUAGUCAAUACCCUGCCAAGAUUCAACAAACAUGAGGAGAAAGAGGGGCCAUAGACCGAAAAAUCGUCCAUGAAAACCUCCACCAUCUCCUCGAUUAAGUCUGAAAAUAUAGAGGUCAUACACCUCUGAAAUGUUGCAGGAGCAUUGCAUAAACCAAAUGGCAUUCUUUUAUAGGCAAAAGUUCCAUAAGGACACGUGAAAGUGGUUUUUUCUUGAUCAUUAGGGUGAAUUGGUAUUUGAAAGAAACCACUGUAUCCAUCAAGAAAGCAAUAAUAUGGAUGAUUAGCCAAACGUUCAAGCAUUUGGUCAAUGAAUGGUAAAGGAAAAUGAUCUUUCCUAGAUGCAGCGUUCAACUUCCUAUAAUCUAUGCACAUUCUAUGACCAGUUAUAGUUCUAGUAGGGAUCAGUUCAUCUUUUUCAUUUUUGACAACAGUCAUUCCACCCUUUUUAGGGACGCAAUGCACUGGAGAAACCCAAGUACUAUCAGAGAUAGGGUAGAUAACACCAGCAUCAAGCAGUUUCAAAAUUUCUUUUUUCACUACUUCUUUCAAAUUGGGAUUUAACCUCCUCUGUGGUUCAAUGCUGGAAUAGGAUUCGUUUUCAAGAUGGUUCAAAUUUCCCUUAAUGUCGGAUAACGAAUAACCAAUUGCUCUCCUAUACUUUCUAAGCUCAGAUAAUAGCAGGUUCACUUCAUCACUAUUUAACUCAGCAUUAAUGAUCACAGGGUAAGUAGAGUUUGGACCAAGGAACGCGUACCUUAGACCUUUUGGAAGCGGUUUGAGAUCAACCUUUGGUGCCUUAAGUUCAGACCAGUCAUCUGAAGUUGGAAUGAUCGGCUCCCUAGGUUCGUCGGUAGACAAGGUCGAGUGGUUGCUUGAGUACGUCCUCGAGAGUGCAGGUUGAACUCGAGUUGACCCUUCUUCGCUUAUUACCAUUACCUCUGUUGCUGGUCCAUUCAAUUCCUCAAAGGGUUCCGAUUCUUCCAUCGCUUUAUGGGAGUCUAACAGCUUCUGGUAUCCCAAUGUUUCCAAAUGCAGAAACCCAUCUUCACCACUUUUGGUUAAAGCACUGUUAAGAUGAUCUUCUUCUGCCAGCUCUUCCAGUAACUCAUCAGCUAACUGAUCCAUUUCUUCGAUCCAAAAGAGUUGCCCUUCUAUGGUAGGCUUCUUCAUCGCGUCUUUGACAUCAAAGGUCAUUCUAAAGUCUUUGCCAAGGUUCAGAUCAAUCUUCCCUUUCUUGACAUCAAUCAUAGCUCCUGCAGUGGCUAAGAAAGGUCUCCCUAGAAUCAACGGGUCCUUGGGCUCUUCAUCCAUCUCCAGGACUACAAAGUCAGUUGGUAUCUCCACAGCACCGAUCCUGAUUGGGAGGUUUUCGAGCAAACCAUGAGGAAUCCUUACUGAUCUGUCAGCUAGGAUGAGGGAUAUAUUGCAGGACUUGUAUUGAGUGAACCCCAAUCUUUUGGCGACAGAUAGCGGCAUGAGACUGACUGAUGCUCCUAAAUCGCAUAGGCAUCUGUUGAAAGCCAAUGGACCUAAAGAGCACGGUAGAGUGAACGAACCAGGAUCACUAAGCUUCUUAGGAAUGAUCUUCUUCUGUAUGAUAGCGCUGCAUUCAUGACUCAAUACCACCAUCCCUUGCACUUCUUGAAUUCUCUCCACAAUCAAGUCUUUCAGAAACUUGUGAGAGUCUGGGAUUAGCGCUAGGGCGUCAACAAGAGGUAUCCGCAACUCAACCUCCUUAAUGUUCUUGGCAAACAUAGCUCUAUAUUUGUCUGCCAACGCUUUCUUGUGACGGCCAGGAAAUGGAAGCUGCGGUUUGUAGGGAGGAGGGACAAAGACCUUUUCUUUGUUUUUGACAACAACUGGCCUUGGAGCAGUUGGUGAUGCUGCUGGGAUGACAGGUCGAGUGGUCGGUCGAGUAAUGCUGUCAAGUGGUUGCUCGAGUGGCUGGUCGAGUGGUUUGUCAGCUUGAUCUUUCUCGAGACUUAAAUCCUCCCCAUCUUGAUCUUCACUGUCCUCAGUGACCGUGUUGGGUUCCUCCCUAGUUGGAAGUGCUUUUCCACUACGCAAGGUGAUAGCAUGAGCAUAUUCUUUUGGAUUCUGAACUACUUUGCCUGGUAGUUGGCUUGUCUGUUUUGGAGCUGAAGAAGAUGCAGAAUGUCCCUCUAAGUAACGGACUUUGGUAUUCAGUGUUUCCAUCUUAACAUUGAGAUCAUUGUAGCUACAGUCCAGCUUGUUAUGUAACUCAGAUAUCUUCUUUGCCAUCUCCAUGGAGCCAGAGGCUUGCCCGUGAAGUAGCUGUUGUAGCAUCUAUUUCAUAUCAGCGUCAGCAGCAGCAGGACCUUGGCUUUGCUGAGGUGCAAACCCUGGUGGUGGUGGUUGCUGGUAAUUUCCCUGGAAUUGCUGCUUAGGACCGAAAACCUUGGUUGUAGGGAACAAAAGGUUUGUUCUGACUUUGUUGUUGCUGUGGAGGAUACACCUGAUCCUGAGGGUUAGCAACGUUGGUGCUGCGGUAGGAAAGGUUGGGGUUGUUGGUUUUGAAGUUGUUGUAUCCUUUGUAGCCACCCUGGUUGUUGUUGAUGUAGCUUACUUCUUCCAACUGGUUACCCUCCCCAUCUUGGACUUGAUAUUGCUCGUCAUCAACAAGGAAGUGCACAUGCUUCUGCUGGCUAAAAAGAAUCUUGUCCAGCUUGUCAUUCAGCGCUUUGAUCUCCUUCCUGUGUUUGUCAUCAGAGUCAGCUGUUCCUCUGACGGUCCUAUCACAGUCUUCGUUGUAAUUUCCAUCUGAUUGAGCAAGGUUCUCAACCAAUUCCCAGCCUUCUUCAACAUCCUUGUUCUGAAAAUUCCCAUUGCUGGCGGUAUCCAGAAGCAUUCUGAUGCGUGGUAGGACUCCUCUGUAAAGAGUGCUGAGCAGAGAGGCUUUAGUAAAGCCAUGAUGAGGGCAUUGGUUGGUGUAACCCUUGAAACGCUCCCAUGCUUCACAGAAGCUUUCACCAGUCUUCUGUGAGAAACCAGAAAUCUCAUUUCUGAGUCUUGCAGUUCUGGCAUUGU